CCCGAUGAAGCUGAUCAACCAUUACACACGCUAGUUGACAGACACAAUAUUUACGUUGAGUUUAUAUCCAAGGAAUGACAGAAAUGGCUGAAUGUGCAGAUUGCUAGCAAACCAUGCAUGGAAAUACUCUCAUCGUUACUAUAAUAUAUACCUGGCAAAAGUAUUGCACUUCAAUGCGAAAAAGAAGGUUCAGGGAUCGAGGAAACAAACCUGGAGCAAAACUAGCUUGGACAUUGGACGCAGACAAUCACUGCUAAGUCAAGCACCGAGAACCCUUACAAAGAAAACUCCCACGAAGAGAACGAGGAAGGGCAUUAAGAAGCUGCAUUGUAUGAUUAUAAGAGGGCAAAUUAUUGUUUUUCUUGUUAAGAAGCACUUUCUAAAAAACAUGCACUCUGAAAUCAUUUGCAUAACAUGAGAGCACUACAAUAAUAUAACUCACUGGUUAGCAAUCCUACACGAAAAUUAUUCUUUAAUUUAGAAUUAUCUGCUAUAACGUACAAAGAUUUAAAGGCGUGGCUUCCAGUAAGCAGCCAUUUCGCGAACAUUUAGAGGCCAAUCCACAAAAUAUAAGUACAAUAUUACUACAGUAGAACUUUGGUAAUCUGGACCUCUUUAGUCCGAAACUCGCAAAUCCGGACAAAACGGCGAACUGAAAAAGAGGAGGGGCUGUGAGUAUAGAAUAGACUAUUGCGCAUGCGCAAUCUAACUAAAGCAACAAUAAUUUUAUUAGUAAACUGUUCAAACAAUGGCCACUGCAAAGAAAACGAAGAGCUCACAAGACUCAAUGUAUUGGAGAGGAAGUUGAGAUAAAAGACUUUCUAGCCAGCAGCCUCCCUUCUGACCUCUGGCAUCCGUGUAUUCAGAUCAAUUAAUUAUUCAGAUCAAUUAAUGACAAUCCGAUGUAUUCAGAUCAAUUAAUGACAAUCCGAUGUAUUCAGGAUGGGGUCUAGUGGGGCUCUAUUCUGUAUAGAUUAUUGCUUUUUAAUUAAAGUGCUGUCAUCAGCGUUUUACAUUCCAAUUGUACAGGAAGCCCAAUUGUACAGGAAGCAACUCGUCACCAAGUGUGCAGAUAUUUUUAAUUAUUGCACACCCGAAAGUAUUUCGUAAAAAAAGGUGCAAGUCCUCCUCAACCAGCAGAUCCCACUCUCUCUCAACAAAACAAAAGCAUCUAGAAAGACAUAAAUUCAACAAUGUCACCUCAUAUUAAGUAUAUUAUGUGUUUAUUUGUUUAUUUUUGCUUGUGUGUAUACACUGUUCUUUUGUUUUAAAUUCCCACUUCAAACCUUAAACAUUACAUACAAUACAAUAUAUACAAUAUAUAACGUACAGUAUACACUUCGGAACUAGAGGGCAUGGAGAGACAAAUUCCUGAUUGUCAAUACUCACAAAAGGGAGUUCAGUAAGAUAAUAAAUUUUGUCGUGUUUUUGUCGUGUUUAUGUGCAAAUAAAAUAAUAAUGAUAGAUAUAUAAUAAUGAUAGAUAUAGCUUUUUUUUUACUGAUAUGGAUGCCACCAUAAAGCCCUUAUCGUUUAACUACACUACCCACAAACUACACUACCCACAGUAUGAGCUUAGAGCUCGAGGUACUCCACAGCUUGAGCAUAGAGCUUGAGCUUGAGGCAUACUCAUAUAAAUAUCUAUGUGGCGUCACUUUACGCCGCAAUGACGGACCUAUAGUCCCCAGCAAACACACCUUCCCACUGUGUUUGUGGACAGACGUUCUCUAUUCAACAAGCUCUCUUGCCCCAGUAUAAGGCACAAUGAACUAAGAGACAUCACUGCCUCUCUACUGAAAGAAACCUGCCAUGAUGUCGCAACGGAACCCACUCUACAACCAGCAAGUAGCUACUAAUAGCUAUGCUAAUAAGUUUCAUGAAAUGAAACAUCCAUUCUUAUGUCAAACAAUAAACAAUCGUGUAAGUGAGGUGGUAACACUGAUUAUGAAUACUUUUGCUAAAAAGUUUGCACAUGAUGUUUACUGCCUGUGUUGCCAUUGGCCUGGCCCGGCCACACGUACUUAUUAGCUUUUAUUUGCUUGGCUUUUAUCCCUCCAGUUAGACGUUGUCCGCAUAUACCUAUCAAACGGUGAGAUCAAGGUUACAACCAGCUUCGUCGGACCAUUGAACAUCUCUCAUACCUGUUUUUAUUGCAUGCUUCUAUGCAAUGCGAGAAAGUGCGAGAAAGUGGGGGUUCAUCAACUGGUGAGUUGACUCUCUCUUGGAGUGGUGACAAAGUCCAGAGAAUAUCUACAUACGUUUAACUUACAAUCCUGGUAGCAGUGUUCUCUCAUCCGCUCCACAAGAAUCAGGAAAUUGCUCUGGGUUGUCAGAGGUUGAUCACUCUUAUUGGAUAAACAAUCACAAGAAACGGCACACCAGCUCUCAUUGUGACACUGUUCCUCGUGCUAGAACUAAAAACUAAAAAGCUGUCCACACGUAGGAAAUUAAGGCAGGCCUCUGGCUUUAAUGUCUUCAGUAAAGAGUUUCACAAACAACAAGAUCUCAAAGGGAAGACUCUCUCAGAUAAAUCAAAAUUGAUGGCAGAGGCUUGGCUUGGAGAAAAAUCAGCACUGCUGAUAAGGAAAAGUACAAUGCAGUAGCAAACGAUAUUGAGGGUAGCAAUGAGGAGGAGGAUGAGGAGGAACUAACGUCGGCAAAGAAGAGGCAGCUCAUUGUUCGGGUUGCUAAGAGACAUCAGGGAUAUGCCAAUCUGCUGCAAUCACUUGGUUGUGAGAUGGCUACAAUGAUGUUUGUUGAUAAAAAGGUUUUAAGUGUGGGAACCACAGAUGGGAAAAAAUUUCUUCAAUCUCACCCUGCAAUCCUGUCAUCCUUCAGCUCCUACUUUCUGUAUGAUGACCUGUCCAAGAAACAAUUUGCUACCCCAGCCACUGCAGCCUCGGCAAGUACAACCAGUCUCAACACAAAUUCCAGCUCAUUCAAUGUUACCUCAACAAACGCAAACCCAAUCAACACCACCUCAUCUACUACAUCCAAAGCUGUUAUUUCCACUGUGAAGAAAUCAACCACUAAAACUACAACCAAAGCAACACCUUCUGGAAUCUUGUCCAAUCAAGCUAUUUCUAACACUGAGUCAGUACGAUUUUUAUGAAAGGCAGAGAUGGAAGUAUUGUUGCGACAGGUAUUGUUGCGACAGGUACAGUGCUUCCUGGUGUACAUAAAACCAUUCAUGGUCGUCCUUGCCAAAAAGAUUGUGAAACGCUUUCCGUUGUGGAUGUUGUACAAGUUGGUGCUGAAGCUUGGUUUGAAGAUGCUUUUGGGGAAAAUAAAUUGAGUAUAGGGAUCAUCGUGGAAUGGCCGAGCAGUAUGAUAUCAAACGUAGCUGAUGUCUCCCCACUUCAUACAAGAACUAAUCGCAAACGUAAAUAACCAGCUGACUAUAAAACUACUAUGAUAAUUGUUAUAAUUAUUGUAUAUGCAAUUGUAAUAGGAAUGGUAAAGGUUUCCUUCCAUUUUAUUCGCGAUUCUAUAUUCUCUCUAUCUUGUGUACUGUAUACAUAAGUAAGAUUACGUUAUUAUUGUUUAUACGUACGUAUAUAAUUAUGUAUGUUACAAUUGUAUGUAUGACAUA